rnacentral:rRNA from 1 species
GACGAACGCUGGCGGCGUGCUUAACACAUGCAAGUCGAACGGAAAGGCCCUGCUUUUGUGGGGUGCUCGAGUGGCGAACGGGUGAGUAACACGUGAGUAACCUGCCCUUGACUUUGGGAUAACUUCAGGAAACUGGGGCUAAUACCGGAUAGGAGCUCCUGCUGCACGGGGGGGGUUGGAAAGUUUCGGCGGUUGGGGAUGGACUCGCGGGUUAUCAGCUGGUUGGUGGGGUAGUGGCUUACAAAGGUUUUGACGGGUAGCCGGCCUGAGAGGGUGAACGGCCACAUUGGGACUGAGAGACGGACCAGAAUCCUACGGGAGGCAGCAGUGGGGAAUAUUGCGCAAUGGGCGGAAGCCUGAUGCAGCAACGCCGCGUGCGGGAUGACGGCCUACGGGUGGUAAACCGAUUUCGCCUGUGACGUAGCGUGAGUGACGGUAAUGGGUAAAGAAGCACCGGCUAACUACGUG